rnacentral:rRNA from 1 species
UACGAAGGGGGCUAGCGUUGUUCGGAUUUACUGGGCGUAAAGCGCACGUAGGCGGAUUGUUAAGUGAGGGGUGAAAUCCCAGGGCUCAACCCUGGAACUGCCUUUCAUACUGGCAAUCUCGAGUCCGGAAGAGGUGAGUGGAACUCCUAGUGUAGAGGUGGAAUUCGUAGACAUUAGGAAGAACACCAGUGGCGAAGGCGGCUCACUGGUCCGGUACUGACGCUGAGGUGCGAAAGCGUGGGGAGCGAACAGG